ensembl:lncRNA
ACUGCCUGGUCGCCAUUAGAGACACCUCAAGCCCGGCGCCUCCUUCCCCCUUUUUUUCCCCCCUCGCGCCCUCUCCACGCCUCGCCGGUCGGGCCAGCGCUUGCUCUCUCGGCCCACCUUGGUGGCCCCGGCCAGGCACGCUGGCCACGCGAGCGCGCACCCUCCCACAAGACCCACAGACACAGCGAGUCGCCGCUCUUACGCCCCCGCGGUGCCGAGGUGUGGGUGUGCGUGUGUCUUCCUUCCUUUCUCCUCCUCCUCCUCCCCCCCUCCCCGCCCGGUUCGCCGGGAACCCAAACACGGAGGCGCUCGCCCCCUGAGGAAACACCGAGCUGGGAACCAAAGGCUGCUUGGGGACCGGCGCCGGAGACCGUGGGGAGGGAGGGAGGGAGGGAACCGAGGGUGUCUGGGGUGGAGGUGGCGUGGCUGGGGAAAGCCGCCCUUUCCCCCCUCCUCCUCCUCCUCCUCCCUCUCCCGCUGCCCUCUCCGAGCAUCUUGUGCCAACAGGAACGGCUGGCUGGAGGUUGCUGCCGCUCCCGCUCGGCUUUUGCCCGCCGGAAUCCUCCAGCGGUGGCGGCGGCGCGGCUGAUGUGUUGUAGAUCUUGGAUGCGCUUUCCACACUUCAGAGUAGGGAUACAGGCCUUCUAGGAGGAGAGCAGGAAACUAUCACGUGGACCCUCUACUCUUUGGAUGGGUGAACUGACACAGGUGGGUUUCUCUCUCUCUCUCUCUCUCUCUCUGUGUGUGUGUGUGUGUGUGUGUGUCUCUCUGUGUGUGUGUACCUUACACUCCAUCCUUGACACCAUUCCUCCCCCCCACGUGCCACACUGUAUCUGCAAGGUGAUGCUGUCUUCUUCCACAUUCAAAGACUCAUUAAUAUUUGCAGAGGAAACCAGUCCUGCACUGCAGGGUAGGAGGCACAUGGUGUGAGUGCGUCUGGUGUGUCAUUUGAUCAUGUGUCCCCUCUAGCUUGGUUUCUAAGGCUGUGAUAUGGUAAAUAGAAAAUGAUAUUUAAUUACUACUGACAUUGCACCAAAUAGUAUUUAAUGAACAUUCUGUUCAAAAUCAGUCUCCCCGAAGUUGCAUAAAGGCAUGCUUACUUACAGCUCCAAGCAUUAAUGUUAAAUCACAUGACCAAAGAAAAUGAUUAGAUGAUAUUAAACAUAGGCAGGGAACAUAUCUUAGCAAACAGAUGUUGAGGAUGCCUCAAUAUCUGUUGAAAUUUGAUUCCAUUCCACCCCUGCCCUUUCUUCCAAGCUUUCAUACCAGCAAUAGACUCAUAGGUAAGCACUUAUAUCCUUUUAGUGUACUAGCAGCAACUCAGUCUUUUUGACAGAAAAAAAGAAUAAUCAGACUUUCCAGUUUUAACUAUAGAGUAUGCUGACAUAGCAAAAGAGUCUAUUUCUUAAGGCCUGUACAAGCCAUGGUGGAAAAUAUCUGAAUAUUCAGUGCUUCAAACCAAAUCCACUGUGAAAUGUUUGUCUUGGAAACUCCGGGUAUUAGGUGAAUUUCAUUGCAUUUUCCCAACUCACAAAUAAUUUGCCUUCAUUUGAAGAUGAAUUAUUUGUGGAAACAGAUAACUUCUUUUAAAAAGCAACAACAGUGUUCUGUCAAGUCUAUUUUUUUAAAAAAUAUUUUUAUUAAAAAAACAUUCAACCUAAACAACAUAAACCUAACACCACAAUAAAAUACAGUUACAUAAUGCA